GGGGCUAUAUGGGGUGAGUAUGGGUGGAUACGGAGGGAUAUGGGGGGGGGUGGGGGGCCGUGGGGCAGAGCCACGGGGCCGGCGGUCAGUCGCAGCACAGCAGCACGGCGCUGUUGAGCCCGGUGUCGUCCUGGGUUCGCUGCGGGGCUUCGACGCGGGUGCGCAGCCCGCAAACCCCCACAUUUGGGGGGCACGACUCGCUCCAAUUGCCCCACAGCCCCCGGACGCCCCCCCCGCCCUCCAACGUGGUGCCAUCAGAGCAGAAGAAAGCGGCGUCGUUGGCGGCCGUGUCGUCCCACAGCCCCCGGGACGGCUCCACGCGGAGGCGGAAGGAAAUGAUGCGGGAAGAGCGCGGGCAGCCCUGGGCUGGGAGCCACUGCCCCCAGUGCCCCUCGCUGGACGUGAUCACCCCCCUCUCAUUGCACAGCAGUCGGAUCCCAUUCAGUGCGGUGUCAUCACGGAACGUCCCCUGGGGGGGCUCCACCUUCAAUUGGAACCCGGUGACGAAGGAUCCUUUGGGGCAGAACUCCACCUCCC
rnacentral:misc_RNA from 1 species